GAAGAGUUAACAUGCUACUCCUCCCGCCUCGCUGCUAACAAGUGAAACAAGCUGUGGGUUGAGGCUGCAUGGAACCCGGUCGGUCUGGCAGAGAGGUUGGCUACAGUGAAUCCGUUGGAUUUGCACAGUCAAGCUCAAUUCAUUAUGUAAUACCGAGGAGGAUAUAAAGUCUUGGCGUGAACCUCCACAGCAUUGGCAAGGGCAGAUCUGUUGCGGUUGCAAUCCUAGAAGAGACUAGCAUGAGCUUAUGCUGCAUUCCUGACACCUCGGAAGUCAGAUUUGUCCUAGUUGGAUUCUCCCAAUUUCAUUCCAGACGAACUUGGAAGUUGGGACAUUGGAACGCCACUUGAAGUCGGAGAUCCCACUUCUAAACUCGGGGUUGUGCUCUGGGGUCCUACCUGAAGAGAGGAAUCGGAUGGGAUUGCCAAGACCAAAAAGGCUUGCAUCAUGUGGUUCUGACAACCCCCAGGGACGACAAAGUACACUGUGGGGGCUCUCUGCUCAGCUCUGAGUGGAUCAUCACGGCUCGUCACUGUGAUAAGAUAAACCUGGAGGCCAUAGUUGGAAAGCACCCCACUGGGGAAGGCCUUACUAUAAGUAUUCAAGAUGGGGAUAAGUACAAGUUUAUAAACAAGAGUCCAGGCCUAGAACAUGAUCUUAUGUUGAUAUAAAUAGACAAUAAAGACACAAAUGACCUCAUCACAAUACCCUUGCCUAAAGAAAACUGUGCAACUCCACCUCUUUACACCACAGUUGACAUUGUUGGCUGGAUGACUGCAACUGUAGGCCGUUACACAGAGAAAAAAAAUUUCUACCAUGCAAACAAACUGCAGUGUGGAAAUUUGACUGUUGUUGAAUGCCAGUCCCCAAGUUGCCCAUAUCUUCAGGACUACCAAUAUCAGCAUCUUCUCUGUGCUAUAGGCACAAAUACAAAAUGUGAUAGCUCUCAUGGGGACUCCGGUUCUAGUCUGAUAAGUGGAGGAAAGCUUCAUGGAGUUCUGGUCAUGUCUGAUGACUAUUUUUGUGGUGACACUGUUGACUUCAUGGACAUCUGCCACACCGAAUACAGAAAGUGGAUCUUCACCACCACUAGACUGUAGGCGCAGAAACCCAACACAUACUUUCCUACAACAGUAUGUGAUAAUAAAGAGAGGGCAGAUGUCCCUAAAAGUCGCCUGAGUUCUGACGCCUCCAUCACCUUUGUGUCUAAUGACUCAGAGGUUAAAACAUUUAGUCUGUUCAAGCAGUAAACAGAAGCAUACAAUGUAUUUAUUCAUGGGGUGGGCAGUAGAGAUUGACAGGAAGUGAAUGGGAGAGAGAGAUGGGAGUAGGGACUUGAAUGUGGUGAAUGCUGUCGCUUACGCCACAGCUGUUUUUAACCACAGUGGUGGACAGGAGUUGUCUGGACAGGAGUUGUCUCUGACCACCUGUAGCUCAACUCAUUGAGUUAUCAGUCUGGGAACACUCAAUGGCUUUGUCUCAAAACACAUACUUGCACACUUCAAAUACUUAGUUUAAGUAUAAAGUGCAGAUAACGCAAAAACUCAGUGCACUGAAAGUACCCGAAUGACGGUCUAAUAACGCUCAAAAAGUUCCGCAGUGGAGUUUCCUCAGACCAUUUUUCACGAAGUGAAUGGGGUUUGACGACACUAAUCUAGGGCAGGACCAUCUGUUGAGGCUGAGCUAUCAAACUUCUGAGGGAUGGAAAUCAUUGAUGACACUCUUUGGUCAUAUAAACUUAGCACAAAAAGUAAGGAAAUUUGUGUUUGGUAGAUUAUUUCUCCACGGUAACAAUGCUAUAAAAUAAAUCUUAUACCGUUCAAA